rnacentral:rRNA from 1 species
GACGUAGGGGGCGAGCGUUGUCCGGAAUGAUUGGGCGUAAAGCGUCCGCAGGUGGCAGUUCAAGUCUGCUGUCAAAGACCGGGGCUUAACUUCGGAAAGGCAGUGGAAACUGAACAGCUAGAGUAUGGUAGGGGCAGAGGGAAUUCCUGGUGUAGCGGUGAAAUGCGUAGAGAUCAGGAAGAACAUCGGUGGCGAAGGCGCUCUGCUGGACCAUAACUGACACUCAGGGACGAAAGCUAGGGGAGCGAAUGGG